CCCAUUCGUGAUGCGCUCGCGACGCGCUGGCUAGCCGUCUUUACAAACGAACCACAACAAAAACAUUCCAAUUUCGAACAUUUUCAAACUUCAAAACAAUAUAAGUCUCCCGCGCAUUUUUGUAACGAUUUUUUAUCCCAUGUAAAAUUGUAUUAACAAAAUAAGCCAUGUUAAUAACGAUUCUCGCGAUUUUUGGAGCGGUGGUGUUGUUUUUCUCUUUACUAAACUUUCUGUGGACACCAUUGGAAUUAAUUUCGUCCUAUUUGAUGCCCUUUUUCCUGCCAUCGGAAGUGGAGCCGUUGUCAAAGCGAUUUGGACCUUGGGCGGCGGUGACGGGCUGCACGGACGGCAUCGGCAAGCAUUACUCCGUCGAGCUGGCCAAACGAGGGCUGAAUAUCGUCCUCAUCAGUCGGAACCCGGAGAAACUACACGCCGUGGCCAAGGAGAUAGAGCAGACGCAUCAUGUGAAGACCAAGGUCAUCGUGGCGGACUUCACGCAGGGCGCCGAGAUAUACCCCCACAUCGAGAAACAGCUCAAAGACCUGGACUUGGGGAUCUUAGUAAACAACGUAGGCCUAAACUACGAAUGUCCGAUCGAGCUGUGCUGCGCCCCUCCGUCUCGAUCCUGGGACCUAAUCGUCGUCAACGUAGGCGCAGCCACCAUGCUCACCCGCGCCAUGUUGCCUUACAUGGCGACCCGAGGUCGUGGAGCUGUCGUUAAUAUCUCCUCGUCGUCGGAGCUGCAGCCUAUGCCGCUUAUGGCCGUAUAUGGAGCCACUAAGGCGUACCUCCGUAGCUUCACGCACGCCAUCCGCGAAGAAUACGGCCCGAAAGGCAUCUAUGUCCAGCACGUGGCACCUUUCUUCGUGUCCACCAAGAUGAACGCGUUCUCCGCCACGGUCAUGGCCGGCGGGCCGUUAGUUCCUACCCCUGAAGCAUACGCAAGAUAUGCUGUAGCGAUGUUAGGAAGGGUACAGGAUACUACGGGGUAUUGGGUGCAUGGAGUUCAGGUUAGUAUAAUAACUGUACGGAUCCGGUUAGAAGGACCAUUAGCACGUGGCGCUUUCUUCGUGUCCACCAAGAUGAACGCGUUCUCCGCCACGGUCAUGGCCGGCGGGCUGUUAGUUCCUACCCCUGAAGCAUACGCAAGAUAUGCUGUAGCGAUGUUAGGAAGGGUACAGGAUACUACGGGGUAUUGGGUGCAUGGAGUUCAGGUUAGUAUAAUAACUGUACGGAUCCGGUUAGAAGGACCAUUAGCACGUGGCACCUUUCUUCGUGUCCACCAAGAUGAACGCGUUCUCCGCCACGGUCAUGGCCGGCGGGCCGUUAGUUCCUACCCCUGAAGCAUACGCAAGAUAUGCUGUAGCGAUGUUAGGAAGGGUACAGGAUACUACGGGGUAUUGGGUGCAUGGAGUUCAGGCUUUUUUCACCCAGUUGGCUCCAGUCUGGUUCCGCACGAAGGUCGCCUGGCACCUCAACCAGGGAUUCCGGCAAGAAUAUCUACGAAAUCAGAAGGCGCAAUAGCCUAGAACACAAAUCUUCUUCAUGCGAAAUACG